AGUAGGUGCCUGAUUAAAGGAUUAUCUUGAUAGGAUAAAUUAUGCAAUUUUCUCAUUGCCCCACUU
rnacentral:tRNA from 1 species